AGCGUACACGGUGGAUGCCUAGGCAGUCAGAGGCGAUGAAGGGCGUGCUAAUCUGCGAAAAGCGUCGGUAAGGUGAUAUGAACCGUUACAACCGGCGAUACCCGAAUGGGGAAACCCAGUGUGUUUCGACACACUAUCAUGUCAUGAAUACAUAGUGGCAUGAGGCGAACCGGGGGAACUGAAACAUCUAAGUACCCCGAGGAAAAGAAAUCAACCGAGAUUCCCCCAGUAGCGGCGAGCGAACGGGGAGGAGCCCAGAACCUGAAUCGGCUUGUGUGUUAGUGGAAGCGUCUGGAAAGUCGCGCAGUAAAGGGUGAUAGCCCCGUACACUAAAAUGCACAGGUCGUGAGUUCGAUGAGUAGGGCGGGACACGUGACAUCCUGUCUGAAUAUGGGGGGACCAUCCUCCAAGGCUAAAUACUCCUGACUGACCGAUAGUGAACCAGUACCGUGAGGGAAAGGCGAAAAGAACCCCGGCGAGGGGAGUGAAAUAGAACCUGAAACCGUGUACGUACAAGCAGUGGGAGCACCUUCGUGGUGUGACUGCGUACCUUUUGUAUAAUGGGUCAGCGACUUAUAUUUUGUAGCAAGGUUAACCGUAUAGGGGAGCCGUAGGGAAACCGAGUCUUAACUGGGCGAAUAGUUGCAAGGUAUAGACCCGAAACCCGGUGAUCUAGCCAUGGGCAGGUUGAAGGUUGGGUAACACUAACUGGAGGACCGAACCGACUAAUGUUGAAAAAUUAGCGGAUGACUUGUGGCUGGGGGUGAAAGGCCAAUCAAACCGGGAGAUAGCUGGUUCUCCCCGAAAGCUAUUUAGGUAGCGCCUCGUGAACUCAUCUUCGGGGGUAGAGCACUGUUUCGGCUAGGGGGCCAUCCCGGCUUACCAAACCGAUGCAAACUCCGAAUACCGAAGAAUGUUAUCACGGGAGACACACGGCGGGUGCUAACGUCCGUCGUGAAGAGGGAAACAACCCAGACCGCCAGCUAAGGUCCCAAAGUCAUGGUUAAGUGGGAAACGAUGUGGGAAGGCAUAGACAGCCAGGAUGUUGGCUUAGAAGCAGCCAUCAUUUAAAGAAAGCGUAAUAGCUCACUGGUCGAGUCGGCCUGCGCGGAAGAUGUAACGGGGCUAAACCAUGCACCGAAGCUGCGGCAGCGACGCUUAGGCGUUGUUGGGUAGGGGAGCGUUCUGUAAGCCGUUGAAGGUGGCCUGUGAGGGUUGCUGGAGGUAUCAGAAGUGCGAAUGCUGACAUAAGUAACGAUAAAGCGGGUGAAAAGCCCGCUCGCCGGAAGACCAAGGGUUCCUGUCCAACGUUAAUCGGGGCAGGGUGAGUCGACCCCUAAGGCGAGGCUGAAAAGCGUAGUCGAUGGGAAACAGGUUAAUAUUCCUGUACUUGGUGUUACUGCGAAGGGGGGACGGAGAAGGCUAGGCUAGCCGGGCGACGGUUGUCCCGGUUUAAGCGUGUAGGGGGUGUGACCUGGUAAAUCCGGUUNAAUCGUACCCCAAACCGACACAGGUGGUCAGGUAGAGAAUACCAAGGCGCUUGAGAGAACUCGGGUGAAGGAACUAGGCAAAAUGGUGCCGUAACUUCGGGAGAAGGCACGCUGGCAUGUAGGUGAAGUCCCUUGCGGAUGGAGCUGAAGCCAGUCGAAGAUACCAGCUGGCUGCAACUGUUUAAUAAAAACACAGCACUGUGCAAACACGAAAGUGGACGUAUACGGUGUGACGCCUGCCCGGUGCUGGAAGGUUAAUUGAUGGGGUCAGCCGCAAGGCGAAGCUCUUGAUCGAAGCCCCAGUAAACGGCGGCCGUAACUAUAACGGUCCUAAGGUAGCGAAAUUCCUUGUCGGGUAAGUUCCGACCUGCACGAAUGGCGUAAUGAUGGCCAGGCUGUCUCCACCCGAGACUCAGUGAAAUUGAACUCGCUGUGAAGAUGCAGUGUACCCGCGGCAAGACGGAAAGACCCCGUGAACCUUUACUAUAGCUUGACACUGAACAUUGAGCCUUGAUGUGUAGGAUAGGUGGGAGGCUUUGAAGCGUGGACGCCAGUCUGCGUGGAGCCAUCCUUGAAAUACCACCCUUUAAUGUUUGAUGUUCUAACUCGGCCCCAUAAUCUGGGGUGAGGACAGUGUCUGGUGGGUAGUUUGACUGGGGCGGUCUCCUCCCAAAGAGUAACGGAGGAGCACGAAGGUUAGCUAAUCACGGUCGGACAUCGUGAGGUUAGUGCAAAGGCAUAAGCUAGCUUGACUGCGAGAGUGACGGCUCGAGCAGGUACGAAAGUAGGUCUUAGUGAUCCGGUGGUUCUGAAUGGAAGGGCCAUCGCUCAACGGAUAAAAGGUACUCCGGGGAUAACAGGCUGAUACCGCCCAAGAGUUCAUAUCGACGGCGGUGUUUGGCACCUCGAUGUCGGCUCAUCACAUCCUGGGGCUGAAGUAGGUCCCAAGGGUAUGGCUGUUCGCCAUUUAAAGUGGUACGCGAGCUGGGUUUAGAACGUCGUGAGACAGUUCGGUCCCUAUCUGCCGUGGGCGUUGGAAGAUUGAGAGGGGUUGCUCCUAGUACGAGAGGACCGGAGUGAACGCACCACUGGUGUUCGGGUUGUCAUGCCAAUGGCAUUGCCCGGUAGCUAAGUGCGGAAAAGAUAAGCGCUGAAAGCAUCUAAGCGCGAAACUUGCCUCAAGAUGAGUCUUCCCUGGGCCUUUAAGGCCCCUGAAGGAACGUUUAAGACUAAGACGUUGA
rnacentral:rRNA from 1 species